rnacentral:rRNA from 1 species
UACUCGAGUGGUGAACGGGUGAGUAACACGUGGGUGAUCUGCCCUGCACUUCGGGAUAAGCUUGGGAAACUGGGUCUAAUACCGGAUAGGAGCCAUCUUUAGUGUGGUGGUUGGAAAGUUUUUUCGGUGUAGGAUGAGCUCGCGGCCUAUCAGCUUGUUGGUGGGGUAAUGGCCUACCAAGGCGGCGACGGGUAGCCGGCCUGAGAGGGUGUACGGCCACAUUGGGACUGAGAUACGGCCCAG